CGGCAAUGGAGGAAACUCUGACCGAGCAACGCCGCGUGAACGAUGAAGUAUUUCGGUACGUAAAGUUCUUUUAUUAGGGAAGAAUAAAUGAUGGAAAAAUCAUUCUGACGGUACCUAAUGAAUAAGCCCCGGCUAACUAUGUGCCAGCAGCCGCGGUAAUACAUAGGGGGCAAGCGUUAUCCGGAAUUAUUGGGCGUAAAGGGUGCGUAGGCGGUUAAAUAAGUUUAUGGUCUAAGUGCAAUGCUCAACAUUGUGAUGCUAUAAAAACUGUUUAGCUAGAGUAAGAUAGAGGCAAGUGGAAUUCCAUGUGUAGUGGUAAAAUGCGUAAAUAUAUGGAGGAACACCAGUAGCGAAGGCGGCUUGCUGGGUCUUUACUGACGCUGAGGCACGAAAGCGUGGGGAGCAAACAGGAUUAGAUACCCUGGUAGUCCACGCCGUAAACGAUGAGUACUAAACGUUGGGUAAAACCAGUGUUGAAGUUAACACAUUAAGUACUCCGCCUGAGUAGUACGUACGCAAGUAUGAAACUUAAAGGAAUUGACGGGACUCCGCACAAGCGGUGGAUCAUGUUGUUUAAUUCGAAGGUACCCGAAAAACCUCACCAGGUCUUGACAUGCUUCUGCAAAGCUGUAGAAACACAGUGGAGGUUAUCAGUUGCACAGGUGGUGCAUGGUUGUCGUCAGCUCGUGUCGUGAGAUGUUGGGUUAAGUCCCGCAACGAGCGCAACCCUUAUUGUUAGUUACCAGCGCGUAAUGGUGGGGACUUUAGCAAGACUGCCAGUGAUAAAUUGGAGGAAGGUGGGGACGACGUCAAAUCAUCAUGCCCCUUAUGACCUGGGCUACAAACGUGAUACAAUGGCUGUUACAAAGAGUAGCUGAA
rnacentral:rRNA from 1 species